rnacentral:rRNA from 1 species
CAAUAGUGUAUACUAAUGUUGCUGCAGUUAAAAAGCUCGUAGUUGGAUUUCGGUUAAUAGGGGGUUAGUCUACUUUUUUUAUAAGUACGCACUGUCAACCUAUUUCCUUCUUUUCAGUAACAAAAUUUUUUUUUGUUCUGAAUCUUUUACUUUGAAAAAAUUAGAGUGUUCAAAGCAGGCCUACGCUUGAAUACAUUAGCAUGGAAUAAUAGAAUAGGACUUCGGUUUCUAUUUUGUUGGUUUCUAGAACUGAGGUAAUGAUUAAUAGGGAUAGUUGGGGGCAUUAGUAUUUAAUUGUCAGAGGUGAAAUUCUUGGAUUUAUUAAAGACUAACAUCUGCGAAAGCAUUUGCCAAGGAUGUUUUCAUUAA